rnacentral:rRNA from 1 species
AGCGAACGCUGGCGGCAGGCCUAACACAUGCAAGUCGAACGAAGUCUUCGGACUUAGUGGCGGACGGGUGAGUAACACGUGGGAACGUGCCUUUAGGUUCGGAAUAACUCAGGGAAACUUGUGCUAAUACCGAAUGUGCUCUUCGGGGGAAAGAUUUAUCGCCUUUAGAGCGGCCCGCGUCUGAUUAGCGAGUUGGUGAGGUAAAGGCUCACCAAGGCUACGAUCAGUAGCUGGUCUGAGAGGAUGACCAGCCACAUUGGGACUGAGACACGGCCCAAACUCCUACGGGAGGCAGCAGAGGGGAAUCUUGCGCAAUGGGCGAAAGCCUGACGCAGCCAUGCCGCGUGGAUGAUGAAGGUCUUAGGAUUGUAAAAUCCUUUCACCGGUGAAGAUAAUGACUGUAGCCGGAGAAGAAGCCCCGGCUAACUUCGUGCCAGCCGCCGCAGUAAUAC